CAGCAGCCACGGUAAUACGUAGGGUGCAAGCGUUAAUCGGAAUUACUGGGCGUAAAGCGUGCGCAGGCGGUUUGUUAAGACAGAUGUGAAAUCCCCGGGCUCAACCUGGGAACUGCAUUUGUGACUGGCAAGCUAGAGUGUGGCAGAGGGGGGUAGAAUUCCAGGCGUAGCGGUGAAAUGCGUAGAGAUCUGGAGGAACAUCAGUGGCGAAGGCGGCCAUCUGGGACAACACUGACGCUGAGGCACGAAAGCGUGGGGAGCAAACAGGAUUAGAUACCCCGGUAGUCCCUGUCUCUUAUAU
rnacentral:rRNA from 1 species